rnacentral:rRNA from 1 species
UACGUAGGGCGCAAGCGUUGUCCGGAAUUAUUGGGCGUAAAGAGCUCGUAGGCGGUUUGUCGCGUCUGCUGUGAAAACCUAAGGCUCAACCUUGGGCUUGCAGUGGGUACGGGCAGACUAGAGUGCGGUAGGGGUGACUGGAAUUCCUGGUGUAGCGGUGGAAUGCGCAGAUAUCAGGAGGAACACCGAUGGCGAAGGCAGGUCACUGGGCCGCAACUGACGCUGAGGAGCGAAAGCAUGGGGAGCGAUCAGG